UCUUCUUUGAUACCUGUUUUGUUAAAUGUAAUUUCACUAUGUUAAAAUUAAAAUCUUCCUUUUCAUUUAGACAGAAAGGGGGAGAUGAUGUGGGAUUCCCCUCUGUAUUCUAUGAAUAUGUUUUAUUGCCAUUGGUUAAUAAAGAAGCUUCUUCUGCCUAUAGCAUGGCAGAAUAUAGCCAAGCUGGAAGAGAUAUAGAAAGAUAGUAGGCAGAGUUAAAGAAAUGUCAUAUAGCUGCUGAAGGAAAAAACCACCAGCCACAAGCCAGAAUGUUCCUGGCAGGUAACAUCUUUGUGGUGGUUUACAAGUUAAAAUAAAUAGAUUAACUUAAGAUGUAAGAGUUAGCUAAAAAUAUGCCUAAACUAUUGUCCAAACUCUAUUGAAAUCAGCAUAGUUUUUGUGCUAUUAUUUGCAUCUGGGCAGCUGAAAAAUAAGUAAAUGAGUGAACAGUCUCUACCUACAAACUAUAGCUUCAUUUUAAUGUUAGAAUAUUAUAGUAACAAUAUUUCCAACCAAUCACAAGUCAAACACUUGAUUUGUCAACUUCCCUGAUGUUUUCAUUGUGAGCAUAGAUUUGAAUUGUCGAAUUACCUCUCUAGCACAUUAAUAUGUAAUUGAACAGAUCACUCUUAGUAGGAAUCACAGUCAUACAAUGUUUUUUCUAUUUUAUAAUAGCUUACACUGAAAUUAGACUUACUUUUCAUAUAUAUGUGCACUUUUGAAAAAAAAUAUUCUAAGUCAUCUUGAACAUUCUAUAAACUUGCAGAUUACUAAAGAAAUUUUCUCACUUAUGAAAUGAUCCCAGAUGUUUUCCAUUUUCAUGUUACAUGUACAAACUUGCUCACAAGGAACUAAAAUAGAAUUGUGUGACUCAUUAGGAAAUAUUUUCACAUAUUCUGAUGGUUGCUCAAAAAUAAUUGAAUAAGAACAACCUAGUUUCUGCAGAAGGAAGAUAAAUUCUUAAACUGACACUCUGGAAAUUAGACUCUGAAAUAAAUCUAAAUUCAGCACCCUUCAGAAACCACCCUGUUCUCUUCAGUAUAGAGUACAUUAUGAAAGUCCUGUGUGAGUACCGAAAACAACUGCUUUCUUUUGCCACCAUUUCUAAGAACUUUAAAACUCCUAAUAUAUAUAAAAAGUUAGACCAGAAUCUCUUUAUGUAAGCUUGACUGAACUGGAGCACACUAUGUAGAUCAGGCUGUCCUUGAACUGUCUUCCUCAUACCUCCUGAGUGCUCAGAUUAUAGGUUUAUGGCAUCACUCCUGGCAUGCACAUAGAGAUAUUUGUAAUGGUAGUGUACAUAAUAUUUGUAAAGAAUAAAGAGACUUUUGUUACAGGGAGAAAUGAGAGUGAAGGUAGUAUAAUGUCAUGUAGGCAGAAGUUUCUGUCCUGCCUGGUCCCACAGCUUUUCUCAGUGAACCAUUUUCAUCUUGCUUCCUCUGUGUCUUGGUGGCAACUGCAGACUGAGUCUUUCCUCUUCGCAGAAUUUUCCUAGUCUUGUUGCCCCACCUAUACUUCCUGCAUGGAUACAGGCCAGCCAGCUUUUCAUUAAACCAAUACAAGUGACAAAUCUUUACAGUGUACAAGACCAUUAUCCCACAGCACCAUAAUGUCUUGAGAGAGGUUGUAUAUUAUACAGAUGGAUUUCAACUUGGUGGGAAAAAGUAGAGAGCAGUGCUUUCAUAAGAACAGACAGUGUGUGCUGUAUUUCAACAAAACAUUCUAUUCUGACAGUAAUUCACAAAAGGUGUAGAAGAACAAGAUUAAUAUAUAAGGACUAGCUGGUAAUGUAAUAUCAGUACUGAAAAGACUGAAGCAGGAAGGUGGUAUACUUCAGGCCAGCCUGAGCUACAUUGUGAAUUCCUGUCUUUGGGACUUGGGAGGAUGAAGAAGAAGACAAUGAAAAAAAAAUGCAUUGAUCCUUUAGUAGGACUGUUAUAGUUCUAUAUCUUUCUUCAAAAGUGACAGAAAUGGUUUAAGAAUUGUCUCCUGUUUGGAUGUAAGAUCAAACAAGUGUUAUAGUCAGAGGGAAUAAAGAAUUCCAUGGUAGACUUUCUUUAUCAUAUAAGAUGACUGGUUAGAAAGAAACAAGAUAGAGACAAUCACAUUUUUUUCCUGCUUUUUAUUAGUAUAGAUUCAAUGGAAAUGAGUCUUUACUGUCCCAAAGAUAAAGGGAAUGCAUGCAGGGUGUAUUUCUCUCAUGUAGAGGAGCAUUUCUGAGCUUUAGUCUAAGAUGGGCUUCAGAUGAGAUUUUGAAACCAAAUACACCCAAGUGCUAAUAGAAGCCACGUGAAUCCUUUCAUUAGUCUGGGAGGAUAGCAUGAGAAUAAGAAGUGAACUUGAUUGCUACUCCAAAAGAGGAAAGAAAAACUAUUUAUGACAGGAAACAGUCCUGUUUUACUCCACAGAGCAAGACUUUGCAAGUUCACAUAUGCCUGUUUUCUUAGUUUGCAAGUUGCGUUAUUAUGUGGAAGCAUACAUUUUUGUUUAAUAAUGUUUCAUUGAAAUUGUUAUUUUUCUCUACUUUAAAUGUUUAAAUGUAAAAAAAAAUAAACUUAAAAACUCGUUUUCUCCAGUCUAAUGUAGUAAGCUAUGGUUUGAAAGACUUUACUUCAAGUCAAGAAAUACUUAUAUCAAUAUCUUUAAUCUUUCGGUUCAAAACCAAGAAUAACUCUACUUAUGUGCCGUAUAACUGUUAGCAGACCCUGAAAUGGUCCCUAGGUAAUAUAUACCUCUACCUUGCUCUGGGUUCUGUACUGAAAAUCAAAAAAGAAAGCACAUAACUGUUCUUUUCUCUUUAAACAGCAAGCUUCGUUAUUGCAGAAAGCCAGUUUUAUAAAUAAAGCAACUAAAGUAACACUACCAAUGUGGCUUUGGUGAUGGUUUGACACGCUGUGCAAGACUCUCUCCUGCUUAAGUUAAUUAAGCUGUAACCAGAAGAGCCUGUGAUGAUUAAUUGCCUUUACUUUGCUACAAAACAGGUCAGUUAUUUGGGAACUGAUGAGGUGGAAAGAAAAGCCCAUCUACAAAGUAACAAGUGUUGGUGAGGUCGUGGAGAAAGCAGAACGCUUUUACACUGCUGGUACUUGUUGUUGCAACAACAGCAAAAAUAAUCUAUUACACUUUCAGUGUUGACGAUGCCACACAUGGAAUCAAAACCUGAACUUAAUGACUCUCACUUUGCUUUAUGAUAAAAUAUUGUUUUCUCCCAUGCUGGUAAGAAGGCUGUCACAGUUGUACAUGUCACCUACAGCACCUCAUCCCCUGGCGUGAUGGUGGGAGCUGAGGAAGGGAAGAAAUGCAGCUAGGGUCCUGUACGAAAGCAGGGCAAAUGCCCUGCCAGCAACUAGAAAAAGAAGUUCUCGGGAAUAAAAGUGGAGAAAAAACAAUUUUAGUUGUUUAAAACUAUAAAAUAACACAGCAAACAGUAGAAAGUUUGCAGAGGACAAGGAAGAGACUGGUAUAAGACACUCCCAUAUUGUAUUGGUUUUGAGGGUGUGAAGUGGCUGUGGAGAGCAGCUGAAGCUUGGCACCAUGUGGAAACGGGAAUUGGAGUCCCAGCGGAGAUGCCAAAAGGCUGUUUGUGAAGGUCUAGCUUCAGUUGCAGUGGUGACUCCAGGGUUAAAGGAGUCAUGGAGAGAAGCUGAGGUUUUGUUACCAAACAGAAGGCUCAAGUUCCCUGCAGAGAGGUCAGGAGGUGAAGACUGGCCAAGCUACGUGGCGCAUCUUCGCCCUCAGAUUCACUUUUGCCCUUGUCCGCUGCUCUUCCCCUCAGGGAAAGAAGCAGGGCGUGGGAGUCCAGUCUCCACCAGUCUCUGCUGCUGGCGUGUUAAAGUUUCUUGUGGACGUGGCAUGGGAAUCCGCUUGGUGGAUCUGUUCCUCAUCUAAUUGUCAAUGCAAACAAUUGCUCUUUAAUUAGAACCAGCUGGGUCCCGCCAAUGUUAUUCAGUCCAUGUGUGUAACCUGCCUUGAAUCCAAGUGCAAGUUGGCCAUGUGAGUCAGUUGCUGAUAUCAUGUAAUUACUAGACAGUGUGGGGCUUGCUAAACACUAAUGACCCAUGAUUCACUGACUUUUUUUUUUGUCAUUGCUGAUAUUAGAGGAAGAGAGAAAGGGACAAUGGUGGAAAGGGACUGGGGACGUGUAUAAAAUGAGGUCAUGCGAAUGAGUGUCAGCCUAGACUCUGACAGAAUCCGUCAGGACGGGACUGACAGUGUCCCCGAACAUUACUGAAGCUAGCUACAAAACAAGCAUGAAUAUUUCAACAUAUUUCACAACAUAGUUUGUAAGAUUCAUUCCAGGUGUUAAUACCAACACACGCACAAACACUCACGUGCGCACACGUGCAUACAUGGCCAAAGAGAGGGACGUGGAUAUUAAAAACAGAAGAGAUUUCUACAUUCUGCUAAAGUAUUGCAAUUUUUAUGGAUUUGAGACACAUUCAUUUUACACUUCAUCAGUGAUGUUUUGCUUCCAUGACAUUUUAGUGGAAGUAUUUGUUAACAUUAUCAAGGGAUUUCCUAGUGAAAACAUAAUCAAAAUUUUCUUCCAGGACCACUUCUCUUCUCAUCCUAACUCCAUCUCUUUGAUCUCCUCCAACUAACCCAAAGCUUGGAAUAUCGUGAUUUCAAAGAAUUAUGACAAAUCAAAGUUCACUGAAAAAUCACACAAUAGCCUCCCUCCCCUGGUGUAUUACUGUAAGCAAAACCCAAGAGCUGAAUCCUUGUCUUUCCUUUCUGUUAAUUCCUGUUUGUCCAUGGAGAAUGUAGGGCAGUGACUCAGAUUACUGGCCCAG